AGCCUGAUGGAUUUAUAUUAGGUAAGCUCUGCUCAGUGAUUAUUUAAAUAGCCGCGGUACUUUAACCGUGCAAAGGUAGCAUAAUAAAUUGGCUUUUAAUUGAAGUCUGGGAUGAAUGAGUUUAUGGGUGUUGACUGUUUCAUUAAAAUUAUUUCUAAUUUACUUAUUAAGUGAAAAUACUUAAAGGUUAAAUAAAAGACGAGAAGACCCUAGAAGUUUUUAUUAAGAAUCUUUUUUACAUUUUUGUUGGGGCAACAAAGUUACAAAAUUAAUUAACCUGGAUGUUGUUUAAAUAGGAAAGGUUAAUCGUGAACAAUUAAGCUACUCUAGGGAUAACAGCAUAAUUUUUAAAGAAGUUUGUGACCUCGAUGUUGGAUUAAGGAUGGUUUAGGCUAGAAGUUUAAAUUUUAAGUUCUGUUCGAACUGUUUUCUUUUACAUG
rnacentral:rRNA from 1 species